AAAUUGAAGAGUUUGAUCAUGGCUCAGAUUGAACGCUGGCGGCAGGCCUAACACAUGCAAGUCGAACGGUAACAGGAAGCAGCUUGCUGCUUCGCUGACGAGUGGCGGACGGGUGAGUAAUGUCUGGGAAACUGCCUGAUGGAGGGGGAUAACUACUGGAAACGGUGGCUAAUACCGCAUAACGUCGCAAGACCAAAGAGGGGGACCUUCGGGCCUCUUGCCAUCAGAUGUGCCCAGAUGGGAUUAGCUUGUUGGUGAGGUAACGGCUCACCAAGGCGACGAUCCCUAGCUGGUCUGAGAGGAUGACCAGCCACACUGGAACUGAGACACGGUCCAGACUCCUACGGGAGGCAGCAGUGGGGAAUAUUGCACAAUGGGCGCAAGCCUGAUGCAGCCAUGCCGCGUGUAUGAAGAAGGCCUUCGGGUUGUAAAGUACUUUCAGCGGGGAGGAAGGUGUUGUGGUUAAUAACCACAGCAAUUGACGUUACCCGCAGAAGAAGCACCGGCUAACUCCGUGCCAGCAGCCGCGGUAAUACGGAGGGUGCAAGCGUUAAUCGGAAUUACUGGGCGUAAAGCGCACGCAGGCGGUCUGUCAAGUCGGAUGUGAAAUCCCCGGGCUCAACCUGGGAACUGCAUUCGAAACUGGCAGGCUUGAGUCUUGUAGAGGGGGGUGGAAUUCCAGGUGUAGCGGUGAAAUGCGUAGAGAUCUGGAGGAAUACCGGUGGCGAAGGCGGCCCCCUGGACAAAGACUGACGCUCAGGUGCGAAAGCGUGGGGAGCAAACAGGAUUAGAUACCCUGGUAGUCCACGCCGUAAACGAUGUCUACUUGGAGGUUGUGCCCUUGAGGCGUGGCUUCCGGAGCUAACGCGUUAAGUAGACCGCCUGGGGAGUACGGCCGCAAGGUUAAAACUCAAAUGAAUUGACGGGGGCCCGCACAAGCGGUGGAGCAUGUGGUUUAAUUCGAUGCAACGCGAAGAACCUUACCUGGUCUUGACAUCCACGGAAGUUUUCAGAGAUGAGAAUGUGCCUUCGGGAACCGUGAGACAGGUGCUGCAUGGCUGUCGUCAGCUCGUGUUGUGAAAUGUUGGGUUAAGUCCCGCAACGAGCGCAACCCUUAUCCUUUGUUGCCAGCGAUUAGGUCGGGAACUCAAAGGAGACUGCCAGUGAUAAACUGGAGGAAGGUGGGGAUGACGUCAAGUCAUCAUGGCCCUUACGACCAGGGCUACACACGUGCUACAAUGGCGCAUACAAAGAGAAGCGACCUCGCGAGAGCAAGCGGACCUCAUAAAGUGCGUCGUAGUCCGGAUUGGAGUCUGCAACUCGACUCCAUGAAGUCGGAAUCGCUAGUAAUCGUGGAUCAGAAUGCCACGGUGAAUACGUUCCCGGGCCUUGUACACACCGCCCGUCACACCAUGGGAGUGGGUUGCAAAAGAAGUAGGUAGCUUAACCUUCGGGAGGGCGCUUACCACUUUGUGAUUCAUGACUGGGGUGAAGUCGUAACAAGGUAACCGUAGGGGAACCUGCGGUUGGAUCACCUCCUUACCUGAAAGAA
rnacentral:rRNA from 1 species